GAUGAACGCUGGCGGCGUGCCUAAUACAUGCAAGUCGAGCGAACAGACGAGGAGCUUGCUCCUCUGACGUUAGCGGCGGACGGGUGAGUAACACGUGGAUAACCUACCUAUAAGACUGGGAUAACUUCGGGAAACCGGAGCUAAUACCGGAUAAUAUAUUGAACCGCAUGGUUCAAUAGUGAAAGACGGUUUUGCUGUCACUUAUAGAUGGAUCCGCGCCGCAUUAGCUAGUUGGUAAGGUAACGGCUUACCAAGGCAACGAUACGUAGCCGACCUGAGAGGGUGAUCGGCCACACUGGAACGGAGACACGGUCCAGACUCCUACGGGAGGCAGCAGUAGGGAAUCUUCCGCAAUGGGCGAAAGCCUGACGGAGCAACGCCGCGUGAGUGAUGAAGGUCUUCGGAUCGUAAAACUCUGUUAUUAGGGAAGAACAAAUGUGUAAGUAACUAUGCACGUCUUGACGGUACCUAAUCAGAAAGCCACGGCUAACUACGUG
rnacentral:rRNA from 1 species